CACACAGCAAAGCUUAAUUAUUAGCACCAUCAUCAUCUCCAAUCACCGUCAUCACAGUACUAUCUCAAAUUACUUAUUAAGGUGUUCCCAAUAUAAUAAAUUAAUAAAUGGGGUCUUGUACGUGGAAUUUCAGCUCUAUGUAAUUUAUCUGCUUUUGUAAGAUGCUUUGAUAUGCUGUUGUGGUCAUCGUCGAGUUCGAUGUCGAUUCUUAAGAAUAAUGUAUGUUGUCAAGGUAAAAAGGUUGCCACUGUAACUACCGUCGUCACCUGGUUUCAGUUUACAUUGGGAGUAUCUAUCUAUUUAUAUAUAAUUAGGUUCUCUCCCUCCUUAGACGUGACACGUAGGACAGACAGGCUGGAAACUCGCGUGUUAUUUAGGCGACACGUGUCCCAUUAAUGAAACUCGGCGUUUCAUUAAAGCGAAGUUCGGAAUGGGCUUUCGUCAUUCGACGUGUAUUGGGCUUAUAAUUUAUAAGCUGUAUCCGGCCCGAAUUGCUUAAGAUUGCCCUCUAACCCUAAUUCUGAUGGAACGAAGAAACGAGCUUCAUCUCUGUUCUUUGUGCGGCUACGACUCCGUGAAAUCUUAGCUUCUCCUCGCCAUCUGAAACGGUCCGAGUUAUGGCUGUAUCGAAGCGUCCUCUUCAAUGCCCUUAUUAACAGUAACUCCCCACUCCUCGCAAGAUCUCUCAUUCAAUGAAUAUCCCAUUACAUCGAUUGAAUGGAUUUAACUUCUUAUAAUCAGAACGAUGCUUGACGAUGAGGUUCAAGAAGAAGAAGCUUCAGAGCCUUCUCUUUCUGGAAAGAGAAGGAAGAAAACUGAAAGACCAAGCUCUGCUCUUCCACCAAAAUUGCUCAUAGAGCAAAGAUGAUAUGGGCAUUCUUUGUCCUACAAGAAGAUGAUCGUGGGCAACACAAUUGCUGUUUCUGUAAAUUUGCAGGAACUGAAAGUAGCACUGUGUGUAUUUUGGUUCCUUUUUGUAUUUAAUUCAGCUUGAGUUAUAUGUGUUUAAUAUUUUUUGUGCAAGUUGUUUUCUCUUCCCUGUUAUUGUUGUAUGAUGUGAUCAUCUUUGAUCAAUAAGUUAGCACAACGUGGGUUCGAGACUUUUUGAAAGUGGUGUAAUAUGAUUUGUUUGGAACUUUGAACAGUUGAGUACAAUUUUUUUUUAACAAA